GAUGAACGCUGGCGGCGUGCCUAACACAUGCAAGUCGAACGGAGCUGCUUUGAUGAGAUCUUCGGAUGGAUUUAAAACAGCUUAGUGGCGGACGGGUGAGUAACGCGUGGGUAACCUGCCUCACACUGGGGGAUAACAGUUAGAAAUAGCUGCUAAUACCGCAUAAGCGCACAGUUCCGCAUGGAACAGUGUGAAAAACUCCGGUGGUGUGAGAUGGACCCGCGUCUGAUUAGCCAGUUGGCGGGGUAACGGCCCACCAAAGCGACGAUCAGUAGCCGGCCUGAGAGGGUGAACGGCCACAUUGGGAACUGAGACACGGCCCAAACUCCUACGGGAGGCAGCAGUGGGAA
rnacentral:rRNA from 1 species